rnacentral:rRNA from 1 species
GGGGAAUAUUGCACAAUGGGCGAAAGCCUGAUGCAGCAACGCCGCGUGAGUGAUGAAGGUCUUCGGAUUGUAAAGCUCUGUCUUCUGGGACGAUAAUGACGGUACCAGAGGAGGAAGCCACGGCUAACUACGUGCCAGCAGCCGCGGUAAUACGUAGGUGGCAAGCGUUGUCCGGAAUUAUUGGGCGUAAAGGAUGCGUAGGCGGAUAUUUAAGUCAGAUCGUGAAAGCCCCGGGCUUAACUUGGGGAGUGCAUUUGAAACUGGAUAUCUAGAGUGCAGGAGAGGUAAGUGGAAUUCCUAGUGUAGCGGUGAAAUGCGUAGAGAUUAGGAAGAACACCAGUGGCGAAGGCGGCUUACUGGACUGUAACUGACGCUGAUGCAUGAAAGCGUGGGUAGCAAAC